AGAGUUUGAUCCUGGCUCAGGAUGAACGCUGGCGGCGUGCCUAAUACAUGCAAGUCGAACGCACAGCGAAAGGUGCUUGCACCUUUCAAGUGAGUGGCGAACGGGUGAGUAACACGUGGAUAACCUACCUCAAGGUUGGGGAUAACAUUUGGAAACAGAUGCUAAUACCGAAUAAAACUUCGUAUCGCAUGAUACAAGGUUAAAAGGCGCUACGGCGUCACCUAGAGAUGGAUCCGCGGUGCAUUAGUUAGUUGGUGGGGUAAAGGCCUACCAAGACAAUGAUGCAUAGCCGAGUUGAGAGACUGAUCGGCCACAUUGGGACUGAGACACGGCCCAAACUCCUACGGGAGGCUGCAGUAGGGAAUCUUCCACAAUGGGCGAAAGCCUGAUGGAGCAACGCCGCGUGUGUGAUGAAGGCUUUCGGGUCGUAAAGCACUGUUGUAUGGGAAGAACAGCUAGAGUAGGGAAUGACUUUAGUUUGACGGUACCAUACCAGAAAGGGACGGCUAAAUACGUGCCAGCAGCCGCGGUAAUACGUAUGUCCCGAGCGUUAUCCGGAUUUAUUGGGCGUAAAGCGAGCGCAGACGGUUGAUUAAGUCUGAUGUGAAAGCCCGGAGCUCAACUCCGGAAAGGCAUUGGAAACUGGUCAACUUGAGUGCAGUAGAGGUAAGUGGAACUCCAUGUGUAGCGGUGGAAUGCGUAGAUAUAUGGAAGAACACCAGCGGCGAAGGCGGCUUACUGGACUGUAACUGACGUUGAGGCUCGAAAGUGUGGGUAGCAAACAGGAUUAGAUACCCUGGUAGUCCACACCGUAAACGAUGAACAC
rnacentral:rRNA from 1 species